rnacentral:rRNA from 1 species
CCUACGGGAGGCAGCAGUAGGGAAUCUUCCACAAUGGGCGAAAGCCUGAUGGAGCAACGCCGCGUGGGUGAAGAAGGUCUUCGGAUCGUAAAACCCUGUUGUUAGAGAAGAAAGUGCGUGAGAGUAACUGUUCACGUUUCGACGGUAUCUAACCAGAAAGCCACGGCUAACUACGUGCCAGCAGCCGCGGUAAUACGUAGGUGGCAAGCGUUAUCCGGAUUUAUUGGGCGUAAAGGGAACGCAGGCGGUCUUUUAAGUCUGAUGUGAAAGCCUUCGGCUUAACCGGAGUAGUGCAUUGGAAACUGGGAGACGUGAGUGCAGAAGAGGAGAGUGGAACUACAUGUGUAGCGGUGAAAUGCGUAGAUAUAUGGAAGAACACCAGUGGCGAAAGCGGCUCUCUGGUCUGUAACUGACGCCGAGGUUCGAAAGCGUGGGUAGCAAACAGGAUUAGAUACCCUGGUAGUC